rnacentral:rRNA from 1 species
UACGAAGGCAGCAGUGGGGAAUAUUGGACAAUGGGCGCAAGCCUGAUCCAGCCAUGCCGCGUGUGUGAAGAAGGCCUUCGGGUUGUAAAGCACUUUUGUCCGGAAAGAAAAGCUUAGGGUUAAUAACCUUGAGUCAUGACGGUACCGGAAGAAUAAGCACCGGCUAACUUCGUGCCAGCAGCCGCGGUAAUACGAAGGGUGCAAGCAUUACUCGGAAUUACUGGGCGUAAAGCGUGCGUAGGUGGUUUGUUAAGUCUGAUGUGAAAGCCCUGGGCUCAACCUGGGAAUGGCAUUGGAAACUGGCUUACUAGAGUGCGGUAGAGGGGUGUGGAAUUCCCGGUGUAGCAGUGAAAUGCGUAGAUAUCGGGAGGACAUCUGUGGCGAAGGCGACACCCUGGACCAGCACUGACACUGAGGCACGAAAGCGUGGGGAGCAAACAGGGAUUAGAUACC